rnacentral:rRNA from 1 species
UACGAAGGGGGCUAGCGUUGCUCGGAAUCACUGGGCGUAAAGCGCACGUAGGCGGCUUUCUAAGUCAGGGGUGAAAUCCUGGAGCUCAACUCCAGAACUGCCUUUGAUACUGGAGCUUGAGUCCGGGAGAGGGUGAGUGGAACUCCGAGUGUAGAGGUGAAAUUCGAUUAGAUAUUCGGAAGAAACACCAGUGGCGAAGGCGGGCUCA